rnacentral:rRNA from 1 species
GGUGAACGCUGGCGGCGUGCUUAACACAUGCAAGUCGAACGAGAACGGAAUAUAGCUUGCUAUAUUUGUCAGCUAAGUGGCGCACGGGUGAGUAAUGUAUAGAUAACCUGCCCUUAAGAAAGGAAUAACAGUUGGAAACGACUGCUAAUGCCCUAUAUGCCUUUAAUACAUAAGUAUGCAAGGGAAACGCUUUAGUGCUUAAGGAUGGGUCUGUAUGGUAUCAGCUUGUUGGUGAGGUAAUGGCUCACCAAGGCUAUGACGCCUAACUGGUUUGAGAGAAUGAUCAGUCACACUGGAACUGAGACACGGUCCAGACUCCUACGGGAGGCAGCAGUGGGGAAUAUUGCACAAUGGACGAAAGUCUGAUGCAGCAACGCCGCGUGGAGGAUGACACAUUUCGGUGCGUAAACUCCUUUUAUAUAGGAAGAUAAUGACGGUACUAUAUGAAUAAGCACCGGCUAACUCCGUGCCAGCCGCCGCGGUAA